rnacentral:rRNA from 1 species
CUACGGGAGGCAGCAGUGGGGAAUAUUGGACAAUGGGCGCAAGCCUGAUCCAGCCAUGCCGCGUGUGUGAAGAAGGCCUUCGGGUUGUAAAGCACUUUUGUCCGGAAAGAAAUCCUUCGAAUUAAUACUUCGGAGGGAUGACGGUACCGGAAGAAUAAGCACCGGCUAACUUCGUGCCAGCAGCCGCGGUAAU